UUACGAAUCGAUUGUGGUUGUUCGGAGGUUUGUCAAUUUGGAACAUGGAAGGCAGAACUCUUUUGGAAUUGUUCGAAUAUUUAGUUUGAUUGUGCUGUUUGGUCCAAUGGCGAGGAAGACAUUCGUCAGGUACAACAGUUUGGACUUUCCGUUGAAGUUGAGUGACUUUAGUGUCACUUUGCACAUGGUUUGUGAGAACAUCUACCGCUACGUCAUGCCGAUUUGUAUUACUUGUACGGUACUUGCGAACAACAUCACCAUCUACCUGAUCCUCAAAGGACUCAUCAACCAGUUAGGCAGCAUCGUCAAGCAGUACAAGGAACUGUUGGAUCGAACCAAAGCUCGAACCGCAGCCCGGCUGGAACGCGUGUCCGGAACGCUGAACCAUCGGCGCCGCAUGGAAAAGCACUUUUACUGGAUGCACCUGCACGAAGAGUUUCAAACCUGUCUCCAGCGUCACCAGCAACUGCUGGAAACCGUGGACGUGGCAAGUUCUCCGCUGAAUGGUACCUUUCUAGCGGCGUACUACGCGGCAAUGCUGAAAAUGAUCUACGAGUUCGUCUUUUUCUGUUUGACGGAAUCGAUCGACAUCCAGAACUAUCUACGGAUGGUGCCAUUCGAGUUCUGGAUCCUGACCGGGCUGGGGGCACAUCUGAUUGAUAAGAACCGCUCCAUCGGCCAGGUCAUCAACGGCAUCAACUGGGAGCAGGAGCUGGAGGCGGAGCCCCCGUUCGCCUGCCGGUUCCGGCCGAUGAUCGCGCUGGUGAUGCGGGCCAUGCGAAACUCGCACCGGCGCCAGCUGGGCCUGACCUGCUACGGGAUUGUGGACUUUACCGCCAACGAGCUUUCCGCCCACGCGGACCGCUUCUGUGCGGUGGUGUGCGCCGUUUUUAACUAUCUUUUCUCGAGAUUUUGAAAAUUGCAAUGAUUCAUCGCCCAUACCAUGAUGAUGCAAAAAAUCGAGCAAAGUACACCGUCCAACAUAAUGUAAAAUUACUUACACUACAACAAGGCGACUACUGAACACUGAGAGCAACGACCAAAAUCCCAACAAUUCAACAGCAACAGCCAAUCGAUAAGACGCUGAAGGCCUCGCUCUGAUAACAGCUCUUCUCUAUCGACUCGCGACCACUUUCGACCACAAUCCAAGUGUUUUCGCAGCAGGCCGUGGUGCACUAUGGGGUUUCAGGCGGCCAUAAAUCGAAAAA
rnacentral:misc_RNA from 1 species